ACAUCCUACAUACUUCGUCGUGCAUUUAACAAAGCGGCCAAAUAGUACUGCUUGACCUUUUACACACAUAAUUUGGCGACAGGAGCACCUCCAAGGAGGACGUAUGUCGCGUAAGGCAACAUCUCCCUGACAGCUUGAAAAACACUGAUGCCUCCACGAAUUUCAGUGCUGCUGGUAACAACUUUGGAUGUUUGCCUUACGUUUAUAAGCCCUCUUUUCCCGUUUCCCCGACGUCCUUCUAUUUUCUUUGCUAUUUCCCGUAGGAAGACGUACACAUUUGUAGAUUCGUAGAAGUUUACCGGCGGCCCAGUACUGUUUGUGUGUGCAUCGUUUUGCCAAAGAAAACUGAAAAGAUACAUAAGACGCCACUUCGAUCGACAGGAGUUGGGGCUGCGACGACCUUGACCACAUCGUAACGGUCAUUAUAUCUCGCGUAAUGUAUCAAGUCGAACACUAAUAUUAAAUUUCGGAUUGUAUGUGCCUCAAGGGACAAAUGGUCAAAGAUUAAAUAGCAUCAGCAGUGUAAAAGACAAUAUUAAUGUAAGAGAAGGGGACGAACAGAAUUCGAAAAGAAGAAGAGGAAUAAAUUUAGCUAUUGACUAAUCGGAAAUACGUCAUUCGUUAAAUGACUGUCAGCCACAAAGUUUGAAGA